rnacentral:rRNA from 1 species
AAUGAACGCUGGCGGCGUGCUUAACACAUGCAAGUCGAGCGAGAAAGCUCCUUCGGGAGUUAGUACAGCGGCGGACGGGUGAGUAACGCGUAGGAAUCUGCCUUUUAGUGAGGAAUACCCUUGAGAAAUUAAGGUUAAUGCUGCAUGUGCCCUGUGGGGUAAAGAUGGCUUUAUGCUGUCGCUAAAAGAUGAGCCUGCGUACUAUUAGCUUGUUGGUGGGGUAAUGGCCUACCAAGGCAGUGAUGGUUAACCGGCCUGAGAGGGUGUACGGUCACAUUGGAACUGAGACACGGUCCAG